CCUACGGGUGGCUGCAGUGGGGAAUAUUGGACAAUGGGCGAAAGCCUGAUCCAGCCAUGCCGCGUGUGUGAAGAAGGCCUUCGGGUUGUAAAGCACUUUCAGUGGGGAAGAAAGCCUUGGGGCUAAUACCCUCGAGGAAGGACAUCACCCACAGAAGAAGCACCGGCUAACUCCGUGCCAGCAGCCGCGGUAAUACGGAGGGUGCGAGCGUUAAUCGGAAUUACUGGGCGUAAAGCGCGCGUAGGCGGUCUGAUAAGCCGGUUGUGAAAGCCCCGGGCUCAACCUGGGAACGGCAUCCGGAACUGUCAGGCUAGAGUGCAGGAGAGGAAGGUAGAAUUCCCGGUGUAGCGGUGAAAUGCGUAGAGAUCGGGAGGAAUACCAGUGGCGAAGGCGGCCUUCUGGACUGACACUGACGCUGAGGUGCGAAAGCGUGGGUAGCAAACAGGAUUAAUACCCUUGUAGUC
rnacentral:rRNA from 1 species